UUUUAAUGGCGGGCAUUCGCUCGGCUUAUAGUCGAGAGGAAAGUCCGGACACCAUAGAGCAAAAUCCCGAUUGAAAAAUCGGAGUGAUAGGGGAAAACCCUAUUGCAUGAACAGUGCCACAGAAAAUAAACCGCCUGCAAGGGUAAGGGUGAAAAGGCGAGGUAAGAGCUCACCGCCGUUAGAGUAAUCGAACGGGCAUGGAAAACUCGGUUUGGUGCAAGACAAUGUAUGAUGUCGGGCUGCUCGUCCACAAGACAUCGGGUGUGUCGCACUCUCGCAAGAGAGGUGUUAGCGAAAGCUAAUGCAGAUAAAUGAAUGCCACUCGAAAGAGUACAGAAUCUGGCUUACAGCCAUUAAAAAAGC
rnacentral:RNase_P_RNA from 1 species